rnacentral:tRNA from 1 species
GAAAAAGUUGUGGAGGUCACAGGGCUGGCUUGAAACCAGUUUUAGGAGGUUCAAUUCUUUCCUUUUUCG